rnacentral:lncRNA from 1 species
AUAACCUAAUUGCACUAGGUUAAUGUAUUAUGGCAAAAAUCCAGCUUUGUGUCUGUAAGUCCCAAAGUCUUCAGAAAUGCUGUUUUAGCCCGGGACAGAUUUUCCAUGCAGCAGAUUUAGUCCUUUAUGCGUCCAGCUCCUUUCCAUCUCGUUUGUGAGCUUUCUUUUGCGUCAAGUAAGCCAUAAAUUGCUGUAUUUUGCAUCAUUUAUACCUGAAACUUUCCUAAUCACAUUUGUUAGCUCAUUUACAGGAAAAAGGACUAAAAGUGUACGAAAUAGAUAAU